rnacentral:rRNA from 1 species
AGAUGGCGACCGGCGCACGGGUGAGUAACACGUAUCCAACCUGCCGAUAACUCGGGGAUAGCCUUUCGAAAGAAAGAUUAAUACCCAUGGUAUAAUCAGACCGCAUGGUUUGAUUAUUAAAGAAUUUCGGUUAUCGAUGGGGAUGCGUUCCAUUAGGCAGUUGGUGAGGUAACGGCUCACCAAACCUUCGAUGGAUAGGGGUUCUGAGAGGAAGGUCCCCCACAUUGGAACUGAGACACGGUCCAA